GUGAACGUUUUAGUAGGUUGAAUCGCUGGUGUCGGAUAGUUAUAGGAUCCUGCGGAGGUAUGCUUCAUUGGAAAUUCUUAUAUCCAAGAAUUUCCGUAUUGUUGUCUUUCCAAUCCGGUUUUGAAACUAAACGGUGUUGCUAAGGAUGAGGGGAAAAAGAACAGUUUUAAACCGUUGACGAAAACGAAGUUGGACGGGUUGCAUGGAACCCAACAUAGUAGAACAUAAGGGUAUCCAUCCUUCGACUUGAUUUAAAUCGACAAGGUUGUGUGGCGUUGGUCGGCCGAAGAACCCAAUGUUUUAAGAUACUCUUCUACUCGGUAGAAACUGUCGCGUAUCAAAGAAGAGUUCUAAGAAUAAGCAAAGUGAAAUUGUUUGAACGUAAUUUCUGUAACGUGUCCUAUGAUCUUCUUCCCAACUUGGUUUUACAAUUGACGUUUAAAAGAAAACCAAAAAAAAAGGCUCCAACGUCCGGGAGUAAAUCGAAUUGAACAAGAAAACUGUCCGACUUCGGGCCAAAAUUACUUCUUGGAAUGCGAUCUACAAUCCAGUAAGUAACGCUUGAAAAAAAUUACAAUUGCUCGAGCACAACCACUGCAACCAACCGAGAUGCUUGCUUUCUGCAUUAAUAAAACUCCAAGUAAACGCUUCGGAGAAAGCAAAACCAUUCCUUUUCUCAACACCACUUUGCACUUCCUGCGUUCAGAACCGAUAAUCUUCCUCUUUUUCCAUCUUCUUACGGCCGACCAAUUUUAGGUAGGCAUUGAGAGAGACCUCCAACGCUUUCAACGAAUCUGGUAUAAUAUUUUUCUGUUCGAACCGGAAUUGUUUGAUCAAGAAAGUAAUCGAAGAAUGUAAAAACUACCGUGAUGAAUCUAUCGAUCGCAGAAGCUAUAAAUUUUAGGUAGAUACCAAACGAGAUUUUCUACUCUCAAUGAAUCUAAUAAUAGUCGUGUUUCCAAGUUUCAAUCAGACUCAUAAAGAAAAUAAUUAAAGAAUGUAAAAAGUGCCAUGAUAAAUCUAUCGACCGAAAAGAUAAUAAAGGGAGACGAACGAGGAAAAACGAUGCAUGUAUAAUUGCUAUACCACGCAAUAUCGUUUAAGUUCUUCUCCCCUUCGACUAACUCCGUAAUAGGUGUGAGCACUAAAGGGGUCGACGUCCCUUUCGUAAACAGAUCGCUUACGCUCAAGGACGUUAGUAUGUAUAGUACGCAUUGUACGCGCAUAUGAUUACCCUUUGCAGUCAACUGUUCUAAUAUUCCUAUAAACACUAUUGCAGAUUAUCAAUUGAUUUUAGAGCAACUCGAAUGAAACGAUGCGAUCAUCGCAACGAAUUAUGAAUGAUAACUUAUGAAAAGUAGCAGGUAACGUACUAAUUAUUUUUUUAAUAUUCUGUAAAAAUUUUAUUUCGCGAAACAAGAGAAGAAGGGAAGAGACAUUUUACGAUGCGCUUCCUCGAGUAACAUCCAAUUACAUCAAAUAUUGCGGCAAAAUAAUAAUCCAUUAAAAUCUAUAUCGAUUUUGCACUUUCUACACAUUAUGAACGGCAAAGAUUGUUACGACAAACUCGUCUUGUAAAAAGUGUUAAUGACCGAUAUUGUUCCAUUAUUCAAUAGUCGUCCGAACAGCGAGGCCUUACCUCUCGAUGUAACGGUUGUCUGUAUCUAAAGAAUAAGUUUCAUCGCCACGUACCAAUUACUCUAGUGUGCGAUGAUCACGACUGAUUAAUAUCCUGAAUUGUUUACACGGUAGCAAUAAGUUCUUUUGCCAUUUCUACUCGCCGGUUGAACGCCAAACGUCAGUGCGAAUACUGCUAGCAAUAAUUUUGCUUCAGUCAAAUAGAACAUUCUGGAACAGUCAAAUUACAUCAGCAUCUCCAUCGGUCUCUUCGUAGAGAUGACAGUGUACGUUACGAACAUUUUUCGUACUUCAUAUUCAUCCCGAAACGAAGACGUAGUAUCAUUAAGGGUGCUUUACACAAGCAACAUAAUACCAGGUUUGUCAAUGGCUACGUAAUUUUGGCACAGGGAACCAUGAUCUCUUAAUGAAUGUUUGUGUAACCGGUUCCCUGGUCAGUUUCGUACAUAAAACCCACGUGAAUAUGCUGCACCAACGGUGCAGCAUAUUUUUAAAUUAUCCGUUCAAAUACUAAGUAUGUUUAUUGUAUUUGCUCCCCGAAAGAACUGCUACUCUCUUAAAAGCCUUUACGAUGGAAGAAACUACGCUCACAUAAAUCUGAUUUGUAACCUUCCUUCGCUUCGUAUUCGCUGACAUUCUCGUGUACAUUCUAAACUAUAUUAUAUAUAUUUGAAGCUUAUAGAAACAAAGUAAGAGUAUCCCGCGUAAAGUUGCAAAGUAUCGCACGUGGAACUUAACUAGCCGGAAUCUAUAUAUCGAUUCGUAAACUGGCAGCAAAUUUCUUCGAUAGUGUUGUUCCCUCGUGAAAACAAAGUUCUCAACAAUGUUACUUCUCUCUAUCUACCCUGGACAGGAUGAUCGUAAACUACCGAGAAACGGGAUGAACAGGAGCCAGAAAUCGAUUCGCGAUUUUUCAUCUUCGUUACCUGAUACCACCUUUUCCUGCGGCAAGUGGAGCACGUAUACGCUUAUUCGCCGGUGCUGCCCUCUACAGUUUCCUUUCAUUGGCCCCUUAUCUCCGACCGAUGGUGAAUCACCGCGGCCAACACCGAUGCCCAGAGAAAGAGACAGUCGGAAAAAGGAGAGAGGUCCAUGGUGAUGCUUAGCACGUGUGUGUGGUGGACAUGAAAUAACCGAGGUAGAACGCGAGAGACAGAGUAGGGAGAAACUGGAGUCGGAGGGGAAGCGUUAUGCAGAGAAAGAGAAGGGGAGUAGGAGAAAGAACCAUGGGCAUGGUGUUGACCGGGCUUUGAACCCUGAUCCCACUGGAGUACUACGCCGUAGUACGGCCUCCCUCCAGAUUGUUUCGUCCACUCUUCUCGGUUUACCACACUAUCAACCCUGCUUCGUCUCCACCCUUUCUUUCAUACUCCGCCAACAACAAUCUUACCAUUUUUCGAUACUUUCUGUCCCUGGACAGUUUCGUACUCGACGAAAAUCUAACCUAAAGGACAUAAAGAAGCUACGAAAAGGUUCUAGGUGACCUUGAUGUGCCUUUCGCGGAUCACUGAAAAUGUUUACAAACAGUAUACCAACCAGUCUUAGAUGUCUAUCGUCGGAAUUAACGGUAAACGUGUACGAACGUUUCAUUGAGGAAAUAUACACGAUGCGAAGCACGAUGCAAUUAACCUUCAUUCGUGUUAAUAAUUAGGACGUCUAGAAGGAUUGGAAGAGCGAUUAUAGGGGAUAAAAAGUUGGAUAAAAAAAAAUGGUCUGUUAGGAAGAGACCAAACACAGAAGCAGAAGGCACGAAGCACAGACGCCGCGUGUACCUUACAAAGAGGCACAAGCGAGCUCCUCGUCUUGCGCAUCCUCGAAGACUUCGAAUCACAGGCAACUACCGCUUUGUCCUUACUUGAAGAGGCGGACGGUAGGGGAUGGGAUGAUGUUCACCGAUGGUGGGGCAAGAAAGAUGAGCAGGGUAGGAAGGCAGGGAAGGUGGAGGACCGUUGCACUGACCGGGCUUUGAACCCACUAUGUGGUAAACAACAGAAACCCAUAUUGGAAUUUGGGGAAUUCUUUAGACAGUAGUGGACGGGUCUACGAACAGGGCACUCUCAUUCAAGAAUGAACGUCGAAAUGUGAGCGUAUCGUCUAAAAAUACUGUUGGUGGGCCGAGGUGCGCCUAGCAACAGAGAUUGCAUAGAAGCAUAACUAUAGUGAACGUGCGUGUUUAUACGCCGAGGCACAACGAGGACAUGAGUUACGGAAAAAGGAGCCUGACAAAUAAAACUUCUUCGUUUCUAUAAAACAAUUUUUAAAAUUUUAACAAAUAACCAGUUCGUAUCGAAUUGAACUUCCUAUUCGUUGUAUAUUUAACAAUUAUUCCAUUAUACUUAAAACUAUAUAUGUAGUAGGUUCAUGUAGAAAAAGUUUUCGUAUCGAUGUUUAGUAUUUAAAUCGAAUUGAAAAUGUAGAAAAUAAAUAACAUAUCAUGUUUAACUAGUGUGAAAAAAAACUUGUACAGUAUGAUGUAUAAAAAGAUGUGUGAUAAAAGACAGGACAUAUUUUUAUGCGUCUUCUCGAGGCACGAGACGAGUGUAUAUACAGAUAAACAUUCAAAAGAGCAGAUUACAGAAAAAUACACGCACUGUAUUUUAAAGAAUAGUCGUCUUAGUCCAAAAUAACCAUAUAGUUCUUUAUAUGUAUAAAAAAAACAGUAAAAAAUAAUUUUUAAAAAUUUGCCUUUCCACGUUGUUUACAGAAAUUGAAGACAUACGUCGAUUUGAAUCUAUUAUUGAAAUUUUCAAUGUUUCAUUGAUUGCUUGUAUCUACCCAAGGAAAAAGUGUGAUUCACUAAAGAAAUUCUUGCAUAAUCCUCUGACCUCGAUUUUGUAUUCGCGCGACGAUCCAAUAACUCAAAUUGAUAUUAAACGCGUUGCUCCGGCCAACGUUCGAUGCAUUAUUUUCAUCUGACAUAUAAUGAGAAACGUGAUUAUGAAAUCGCGUUAACAACCAUAGAUUCGUAUGACAAUUGAACAAUUAUGAAAAUACAUAUCGUGUAUGCAUUUUGUAUUUAAAAUGAGCCAACUUUGUAUCAACAUCCUCCGUUCGAUGUUAAUUUACUUGCAAAUUUGACCAUACGAGGCGAUCGUUGUUUGUAUUUCGUGUUCAUAACCAUCAAUUUAAAAUUAAUAUAGCAAAUUAUUUUUCUUUUUUAAUUCGAUGUAAAUCAACUUUCUUUCGAUCAGGAUUUAUACAUUUUGUAGUAUUUAAGAACAAAUGAUUGCGAUAAUUAUGUAAACAUUUAAUAUACUUGUUAUUAUAUAUUUUUAAUUAAUAGAUUCUAUUCGUCCUUCAAAAUGUUUCGCUUUAAAACGAAAAAAAAAAAGAAAAUCAAAUUGUCACUUACCAAAGCCAAAUACAUGCAGGUCCAGCAGCACCUGUUUCUUAGUCAGCUUCGACUAUUCUGUUGCAUACAACUUCCGCCGUUGCACCUGCACCUGUCUCAAUUUUUUCACUACGAAUAAAUUUUCAAUGCUCCUGAUUCAGCGUAGGGAGAUUGUACAGAAGAUUCUGAUUGUGGAUUCAGGAGAUUCUAGGAAGCGUAUUCUGCUGUAACAAGGAAAUGAUACAUGUGAAAAAGGAUGCCAAGGAAUCAAACUAAUUACUAUGAAGGGUAUGAAAAGGUGUUUGAUUGGUGUGGGUAAGGGAGAGACAAAGCAUUAUUAUAUCGAAAACUGAACUUCAAUUUUCCUUCUACCACCACGUGUAAGUCAGAUAAAGUACAAUUUAACCCAACAAUUUACAAAUGACGUACAUGUAACACAGGUUUGGAUGCCAGGCGUGUAAAGAAAAGAUACCAAGCAUUUUUAGAUAAAUCUUUUUUUAAUAAACAUAGGCAUUCACUUAUGAAGGUUAGUUUUUUAGACUCUCUUACGAUUAUGGUUUAUAUAAUAUAUUGUCGUUACAGAUAGAAUUCUUACGCGAAUACCAACUGGAUAUGAGGCACUGGGUAUUUCUGCUCACCCUUUUUAUUUUGACAUUCACCCACACAAACAAACAUCGUGCACACGUGCUCAAACAUAUGCAACCUUUCAUACUCUUUCUAUUGGGACUUUUACGUCACGUUUGAAACGCACAUAUACAUCUAUGCUUAUUACAAAUAAGAAGUACACGCUAAGUUAUGUUUACUGAGAUCAUACUAAUACAUCACAGGGUUACAUAGGCAUAAGAUUCUCUUUUACUAUUUUUUUUCGUUUCUUUCCCGACGGCAGACUACCUUCUUCCUUAUGUCGCGAUCCUUUUAGAUCUAACGAGAUUCUAUAGUCGUUUCACGCGUCUUUUUCACGCUAGGUAGGAAAAAAAAAAAAAAAAAGAAAAGAAAAGAAAA